GACUUCGUGGUGCAAUGGUAGCACGUCUUACUCCCGAUCAAAAGGUUGCGUGUUCAAAUCACGUUGGGGUCA
rnacentral:tRNA from 1 species